UGGGGAAUUUUGGACAAUGGGCGAAAGCCUGAUCCAGCAAUGCCGCGUGUGUGAAGAAGGCCUUCGGGUUGUAAAGCACUUUUGUCCGGAAAGAAAUCCUUGGCUCUAAUACAGUCGGGGGAUGACGGUACCGGAAGAAUAAGCACCGGCUAACUACGUGCCAGCAGCCGCGGUAAUACGUAGGGUGCAAGCGUUAAUCGGAAUUACUGGGCGUAAAGCGUGCGCAGGCGGUUUGCUAAGACCGAUGUGAAAUCCCCGGGCUCAACCUGGGAACUGCAUUGGUGACUGGCAGGCUAGAGUAUGGCAGAGGGGGGUAGAAUUCCACGUGUAGCAGUGAAAUGCGUAGAGAUGUGGAGGAAUACCGAUGGCGAAGGCAGCCCCCUGGGCCAAAUACUAGACGCUCAUGCACGAAAGCGUGGGGAGCAAACAGGAUUAGAUACCCUGGUAGUCCACGCCCUAAACGAUGUCAACUAGUUGUUGGGGAUUCAUUUCCUUAGUAACGUAGCUAACGCGUGAAGUUGACCGCCUGGGGAGUACGGUCGCAAGAUUAAAACUCAAAGGAAUUGACGGGGUCAUAGCUGUUUCCU
rnacentral:rRNA from 1 species